GACGAACGCUGGCGGCGUGCUUAACACAUGCAAGUCGAACGCUGAACCCGCUUCGGUGGGGGAUGAGUGGCGAACGGGUGAGUAACACGGGGGCAACCUGCCCCCGGCUCUGGGAUAACUCCAAGAAAGUGGGGCUAAUACCGGUAGUGACCGCUGGCCGCAUGGUCUGGUGGUGGAAAGGGUUUCCGGCUGGGGAUGGGCCCGCGGCCUAUCAGCUUGUUGGUGGGGUAGUGGCCUACCAAGGCGACGACGGGUAGCCGGCCUGAGAGGGGGACCGGCCUCCCUGGGCCUGCGACACGGCCCAGCCUCCUACGGGAGGCAGCAGUGGGGAAUAUUGCGCAAUGGGCGGAAGCCUGACGCAGCGACGCCGCGUGGGGGAUGCCGGCCUUCGGGUUGUAAACCUCUUUCAGCAGGGACGAAGCGCUAGUGACGGUACCUGCAGAAGAAGCACCGGCCAACUACGUG
rnacentral:rRNA from 1 species